GAGACAGCAGUAGCGCGGUAAUACGAAGGGGGCUAGCGUUGUUCGGAAUUACUGGGCGUAAAGCGCACGUAGGCGGAUAUUUAAGUCAGGGGUGAAAUCCCGCAGCUCAACUGCGGAACUGCCUUUGAUACUGGGUAUCUUGAGUAUGGAAGAGGUUAGUGGAAUUGCGAGUGUAGAGGUGAAAUUCGUAGAUAUUCGCAGGAACACCAGUGGCGAAGGCGGCUAACUGGUCCAUAACUGACGCUGAGGUGCGAAAGCGUGGGGAGCAAACAGGAUUAGAUACCCGUGUAGUCCCUGUCUCUUAUACC
rnacentral:rRNA from 1 species